AGCAUUGGCCAACAGCUGCUGCAAAGUAGAGGAAAGUCCACGCUAACACUUUCUGCGAUGAAAGUAGUGUUCAUGCUAAGCCCAAUAAGCUUAGGCCUAGACGACUAGUGCCACAGAGACGAGAAAUGUGAAACGCGGUAAACUCCAUGAGUUAGAAACCCAAAUUUUGGUAGGGGAACAUCUUAAAGAGAAUUGAAUCCGAAAGAUGAGUCAUUGACUAGAUAAAUUGUUGGCACCCGCAAGGGUACAGAACGUGGCUUAUAGAU
rnacentral:RNase_P_RNA from 2 species